rnacentral:rRNA from 1 species
AGAAUCAACGCUGGCGGCGUGCCUCAGACAUGCAAGUCGAACGCGAAAGUCCCCUUCGGGGGGCAAGUAGAGUGGCGCACGGGUGAGCAACACGUAGGUAAUCUACCUUCGGAUGGGGAAUAACAACCGGAAACGGUUGCUAAUACCGCAUAAUGCAGCGGCACCUAAUGGUGACAGUUGUUAAAGCGGGGGAUCGAAAGACCUCGCGUCUGAAGAGGAGCCUGCGGCGGAUUAGCUAGUUGGUAAGGUAAUGGCUUACCAAGGCGACGAUCCGUA